UACGGGGGGAGCAAGCGUUGUUCGGAUUUACUGGGCGUAAAGGGCGCGUAGGCGGUCAGCACAAGUCAGUUGUGAAAUCUCCGGGCUUAACUCGGAAAGGUCAACUGAUACUGUGCGACUAGAGUGCAGAAGGGGCAACUGGAAUUCUCGGUGUAGCGGUGAAAUGCGUAGAUAUCGAGAGGAACACUGCGGUGUAGACGGCUUACUGGACGGUAACUGACGCUGAGGCACGAAAGCGUGGGUAGCAAACAGG
rnacentral:rRNA from 1 species